CCUACGGGUGGCAGCAGUGAGGAAUAUUGGUCAAUGGGCGGGAGCCUGAACCAGCCAAGUCGCGUGAAGGAAGAAGGUACUUAGUAUUGUCAACUUCUUUUGUCGGGGAACAAAGGCGGAGACGCGUCUCCGGAUGAGUGUACCCGAAGCAAAAGCAUCGGCUAACUCCGUGCCAGCAGCCGCGGUAAUACGGAGGAUGCGCGCGUUAUCCGGAUUUAUUGGGUUUAAAGGGUGCGCAGGCGGGAGAUCAAGUCAGCGGUAAAAUGUAGGGGCUAAACCCCGGCCGGCCGUUGAAACUGGUGUUCUAGAGGUGGAGAGAGGUAUGCGGAAUUCGUGGUGUAGCGGUGAAAUGCAUAGAUAUUACGAAGAACUCCGAUUGCGAAGGCAGCUCACUGGACUGCAACUGACGCUGAGGCUCGAAAGUGUGGGUAUCAAACAGGAUUAGAUACCCCUGUAGUC
rnacentral:rRNA from 1 species